ensembl:lncRNA
GGGAUCCCCUACUUGCAAAGCCCUGCCGACCAAUGUGAACAUAUGCAAAUUGUGCAAAUACAUGCAAAUAGACCCCUUCUCUCCAGGGAAGUUCUGGGAAGGCAUAGCUUCUCUUCUUCCCACCAUGGGGGUCCAGGCUGCGGCCAGAGGCCUGGGCUGAGGCCCGUUCAUUGAUUGCAUACUGUGUGCAGGGCCCUCUGCCAGGUGCUGGGGACAGAGCAUGAUCCAGGUGGAUCCACCCCAGGGUGGUGAUGGCCCUAACCUCACAGCAGAUAAAUACUAAUUUCAGUCCAGCGCUGUGGCUCACACCUGAAAUCCCAGCACUUUGGGAGGCUGAGGUGGGAGGAUCGCCAGAGCCCGGGAGGUGGAGGCUGCAGUGAGCAGUGAUCACACCACUGAAUUCCAGCCUGGAUACGGGGUGAGCGGAGACAGACAAUCACGGGGUAUCUUCUGGGCCUUCGUAAGGGGUGUGGAUUUUAUUCUGGGGGUGCUGGGGAACUCUAGGAGAGUUUGGAGCAGGUGAGGAGUCCGAUGAGAUUUCCAGAUUCUGAAAAAUGGGUCACAUCCAAGUGGCAGGAGUGGGGUGGCUGCCGGGUGGGGAGAGGAGGGUGCAUUUGGAACACAGUUUGGAAUGCCUAAGGAGGACUGGAGUGAGGGCCCGUGCAGAGUGGGUGGGACCAUUUCCUGACCUAGGGGAGGGAAUUGUGAGCCUGGAGAGGAAAAGCAGCAGAGUGGGGAGAAUCAGGUCACACCUUCCUUGACUGUGAUUCCAAUCAUAGGAGCGGGCAGCAGGACCCCAGGAUGUGAGUUGGGAAGGGCCCAAGGCCGCAGCAGACAAUGUGAGCAGAAUGUGCAGGAAUGGGAGAAUGGCAGCAGUGUCGGGGAGCUGUACCCCGCCCCUUGGUUCCCUGGGAGAUGUAGCAGGGGUUGGGGUGAGAAGUUGUGAGCUGCUGUGACUGCAGCAUGACCUGCUGGGUGGCCCUGGAUAUAAAUUAUCCUUCUGCGAGCUAGGAGCCACAGUGGGACUUGAACCCACGCCAUGGGGAGCCAGAAUCUGUCCUUGAACUUCAAUUCUGCACUCAACAAGUGCAAAAAGGCCAGUUUCAGUGGCUCAUGCCUGUAAUCUCAGCACUUUGGGAGGCCAAGCGAGGAAGAAGGCUGGAGGCUAGGAGUUGGAGACCAGCCUGGGCAAUAUAGUGAGACCCCAACGGUACUCUCUCUCUCUCUCUAUAUAUAUAUAUUGUAUUUUUAGUAGAGAAGGGGUUUCACCAUGUUGGCCAGGCUGGUCUCGAACUCCUGACUUCACGUGAUCCACCCGCCUCUGCCUCCCAAAGUGCUAGGAUUACAGGUGUGAGCCACUGUGCCCAACCAAAAAUUUUUAAAAAUUAGCUGAGUUUGGUGGUGUGCCCCUGUGGUCCCAGCUACUUAGGAAGCUUAAGCAGAAGGAUUGCUUGAGCUGGGGAGGUUGAGGCUGCAGUGAACGGUGAUUGUGCCACUGCACUUUAGCCUGGGCGACAGAGGGAGACCCUAUCUUUAAAAAAAUAAAUAAAUGUAAACUAUUUUUCCUUGUUGCUGCUGCUGUCUGUAAGAUUCCAUAAUUCAACUGGGCAUGGUGACUCACGCUUGUAAUCCCAACACUUUGGGAGGCCCAGGCAGGUGGAUCACCUGAGGUCAGGCGUUCAAGCCGAUCCUGGCCAACAUGAUGAAACCCCGUGUCUACUAAAAACACAAAAAACUAGCCAGGCAUGGUGGCGGGCACGUGUGAUCCCAGCUACUUGGAAGGCUGAAGUAGGAGAAUUGCUUGAACCCGAGAGGCAGAGGUUGCGGUGAGCCGAGAUCGUGCCACUGCACUCCAACCUGGGCAGCAAGAGUGAAACUCCAUCUCAAAAAAAAAAAAAAAAAAAA